CAUCGCUUGAACUGUUGCAAAAAUAAUUUCGGUGUUUCCAUAAUAAAAUGUUUGAAAACAUAAAAAAGUUGAAAAUGAAGUAGUAGUUUUGAAAUUAAAAAAAUUAAAUAAAAUAUCAAACUAAACACGUUUGCUCGUCUUUAUCCUUUGAGCUAAAUGGGCUUUCUUCCGAGCCAAAUGUACAUAUUGAACCAUAGAUUAGACAAUUGAUUUUCUCACAUACUCAAUUGCUCUUCCACACUAGUAAAAGACUAUUAUAUCUCCAGUGGCAAUUAACUCCCAGUGGCUUCCCAACGUAAGAGCCGGCGACAGUUAACCGUCGUUGGGGGUAUGAUGGUCUUUUAAUAGUAUGGGUGAGCAGCACUAGUUUAUGCUAGGUGAGAAAAGCAAUUUUUCAUAGUUUAUGCUAGGUGGGCUGAUGUUCAGAGGUGUUUUUUUGUUGUUGGGUUAUUGUCUCCAACGACCUUUAAUUUGAGUAGGGAAUUUUCUUUUUGAGCCCUACCAACUGAUCACACACCCUACCAUUCGAAUCCUAAAAUCCGAAAAAAUAAGUGAUUUUAAAUCUUUUCCGCACAUUGGAAACCUAAAUUCUGAUAUACUGUAGGGAGGGAGAGAACUGUGUGUGGAUGAGUGGGGGUGCAAGAUAGAAGAAGCGGUCUUAGAAUUAUUACUACCUUGAUUGGGCCAAAGGAGAACCUAAAACAAAGGAAUAAUUGAACCAUCACGGAUGAAUCAUGCUAAUAUGUGCACUCUCACGGCACUUGUUAGGUCACGGGAGUAUAGGAUUCGACAUUGAAACUAGUCGGAACAGAAUUCGCUGAAAAAAUUUGUGGUUGUUUAUGGAAGAUGGUGCAUAUUCGUCAAUUUGAAAGAGUAUGGGAGCGACAAAGAACUAAAAGGAUGACCAUCAAAAAAUACAUUUAACUAUUUAGAUUAAAAAUUUUAAGAUAUUGAGUUUAUGAGUUAAAUCUUUUUUAUAU
rnacentral:lncRNA from 1 species